AUUUAAGUAGUUUAAGUAAAAUAUUAAUUUGUGGAAUUAAAGUUAUAUUAUUAUAUCUUAAAUA
rnacentral:tRNA from 1 species